UACGAAGGGGGCUAGCGUUGCUCGGAAUCACUGGGCGUAAAGCGCACGUAGGCGGCUUCUUAAGUCAGGGGUGAAAUCCUGGAGCUCAACUCCAGAACUGCCUUUGAUACUGGCGAUCUUGAGUCCGGGAGAGGUGAGUGGAACUGCGAGUGUAGAGGUGAAAUUCGUAGAUAUUCGCAAGAACACCAGUGGCGAAAGGCGGCUCACUGGCCCGGUACUGACGCUGAGGUGCGAAAGCGUGGGGAGCAAACAGGG
rnacentral:rRNA from 1 species